CCUACGGGAGGCUGCAGUGAGGAAUAUUGGUCAAUGGACGAGAGUCUGAACCAGCCAAGUAGCGUGAAGGAUGACUGUCCUAUGGGUUGUAAACUUCUUUUAUAUGGGAAUAAAAUGUUCCACGUGUGGGAUUUUGUAUGUACCAUAUGAAUAAGGAUCGGCUAACUCCGUGCCAGCAGCCGCGGUAAUACGGAGGAUCCGAGCGUUAUCCGGAUUUAUUGGGUUUAAAGGGAGCGUAGGUGGAUUGUUAAGUCAGUUGUGAAAGUUUGCGGAUCAACCGUAAAAUUGCAGUUGAAACUGGCAGUCUUGAGUACAGUAGAGGUGGGCGGAAUUCGUGGUGUAGCGGUGAAAUGCUUAGAUAUCACGAAGAACUCCGAUUGCGAAGGCAGUUCACUGGACUGCAACUGACACCGAGGCUCGAAAGUGUGGGUAUCAAACAGGAUUAGAUACCCCUGUAGUC
rnacentral:rRNA from 1 species